AACGAACGCUGGCGGCAGGCCUAACACAUGCAAGUCGAGCGCCCCGCAAGGGGAGCGGCGGACGGGGUGAGUAACGCGUGGGAACGUGCCUCUUGCUACGGAAUAGCCUCGGGAAACUGGGAGUAAUACCGUAUGUGCCCUACGGGGGAAAGAUUUAUCGGCAAGAGAUCGGCCCGCGUUGGAUUAGGUAGUUGGUGGGGGUAAUGGCCUACCAAGGGUACGAUGGGUAGCUGGUCUGAGAGGAUGAUCAGCCACACUGGAACUGAGACACGGUCCAGACUCCUACGGGAGGCAGCAGUGGGAAUAUUGCGCAAUGGGGGAAACCCUGACGCAGCCACGCCGCGUGAGUGAUGAAGGCCUUCGGGUUGUAAAGCUCUGUCGGGAGGGACGAAGGGGAAACCCUGACGGUACCUCGCAAGAAAGCACCGGCUAACUCUGUGCCAGCAGCCG
rnacentral:rRNA from 1 species